GAUGAACGCUAGCUACAGGCUUAACACAUGCAAGUCGAGGGGAAACGGCAUUAAGUGCUUGCACUUUUUGGACGUCGACCGGCGCACGGGUGAGUAACGCGUAUCCAACCUUCCCAUGACUAAGGGAUAACCUGCCGAAAGGCAGACUAAUACCUUAUGGUCUUCACUGACGGCAUCAGAUGUGAAGUAAAGAUUUAUCGGUUAUGGAUGGGGAUGCGUCUGAUUAGCUUGUUGGCGGGGUAACGGCCUACCAAGGCAACGAUCAGUAGGGGUUCUGAGAGGAAGGUCCCCCACAUUGGAACGGAGACACGGUCCAAACUCCUACGGGAGGCAGCAGUGAGGAAUAUUGGUCAAGGGGCGAGAGCCUGAACCAGCCAAGUAGCGUGCAGGAUGACGGCCCUAGGGGUUGUAAACUGCUUUUGUAUGGGGAUAAAGUCAAUCACGUGUGAUUGUUUGCAGGUACCAUACGAAUAAGGACCGGCUAAUUCCGUG
rnacentral:rRNA from 1 species